rnacentral:rRNA from 1 species
AUUGAACGCUGGCGGCAGGCUUAACACAUGCAAGUCGAACGGUAACAGGAGAAAGCUUGCUUUCUUGCUGACGAGUGGCGGACGGGUGAGUAAUGCUUGGGAAUCUGGCUUAUGGAGGGGGAUAACGACGGGAAACUGUCGCUAAUACCGCGUAGAGUCGAGAGACGAAAGUGCGGGACCGCAAGGCCGCAUGCCAUAGGAUGAGCCCAAGUGGGAUUAGGUAGUUGGUGGGGUAAAGGCCUACCAAGGCGACGAUGCAUAGCCGACCUGAGAGGGUGAUCGGCCACACUGGGACUGAGACACGGCCCAGACUCCUACGGGAGGCAGCAGUAGGGAAUCUUCCGCAAUGGGCGAAAGCCUGACGGAGCAACGCCGCGUGAGUGAAGAAGGAUUUCGGUUCGUAAAGCUCUGUUGUUAGGGAAGAAUGAUUGUGUAGUAACUAUACACGGUAGAGACGGUACCUAACCAGAAAGCCACGGCUAACUACGUGCCAGCAGCCGCGGUAAUACGUAGGUGGCAAGCGUUGUCCGGAAUUAUUGGGCGUAAAGCGCGCGCAGGUGGUUUAAUAAGUCUGAUGUGAAAGCCCACGGCUCAACCGUGGAGGGUCAUUGGAAACUGUUAAACUUGAGUGCAGGAGAGAAAAGUGGAAUUCCUAGUGUAGCGGUGAAAUGCGUAGAGAUUAGGAGGAACACCAGUGGCGAAGGCGGCUUUUUGGCCUGUAACUGACACUGAGGCGCGAAAGCGUGGGGAGCAAACAGG